rnacentral:rRNA from 1 species
UACGUGAAACCCGUUCAGGGGUAAACCCUGCGAAACUCGAAUGAAUGAACGGAGAGAUUCAUCGUACCUUCACGACCCGCGGGUUUGUGCUGAUGCCUUGGAGUUGUUCUGUUGGCACAAGCGCCGUCCAUUGACGGGCGUGGAUGACGUGCUCUUCUCUCCUAGUAAUACAUCGCGAGCCGUUCAGUGCUGGUUUAAGCAUCGUUCCGGCAGUCUGUGUGCUCAGCUGUUCCCUUGCGGAAGCAGCUGAACCGUAACGAGCGCCAACCAGCACGCGGACGGCAUGAAAUUCGUGCACGCGUCAAUGCGCGUCCAGCUCGAUGCAAGGUAGCUUCGCGUCCGAAGUCCGGCCUGAGCGCAGACGUCGGUGUGGUGCUCUUGUUGUAGCUGUCGUAGUUUUGGACUGUGCGUGAAAAUAUCUGCGAUGAAUCAGUUUCGGGCACUCGCAGGACCCGUCUUGAAACACGGACCAAGGAGUCUAGCAUGUGUGCGAGUCAUUGAGAAUAUAAAACUUAUAGGCGUAACGAAAGUAAAAGUGUGCGCUAGCCGCGCACUGAGGGAGGAUGGAGCGUCGAUCUAUGUCGGCCUCUCGCACUCCCGAGGUGUCUCAUUUCCAAUUCGAGAAUGCAGGCGCGCUCUGAGCAUAAAUGCUGGGACCCGAAAGAUGGUGAACUAUGCCUGGUCAGGUCGAAGUCAGGGGAAACCUUGGUGGAGGACCGUAGCGAUUCUGACGUGCAAAUCGAUCGUCGGAACUGGGUAUAGGGGCGAAAGACUAAUCGAACCAUC